rnacentral:rRNA from 1 species
UACGGGGGGGGCAAGCGUUGUUCGGAAUUACUGGGCGUAAAGGGUUCGUAGGUGGCCAACUAAGUCAUACGUGAAAUCCCUCAGCUUAACUGGGGAACUGCGUCUGAUACUGGUUGGCUUGAGUGCAGGAGAGGAACGCGGAAUUCCAGGUGUAGCGGUGAAAUGCGUAGAUAUCUGGAGGAACACCGGUGGCGAAGGCGGGUCUCUGGGCCGAAACUGACGCUGAGGAGCGAAAGCGUGGGGAGCAAACAGG